ensembl:lncRNA
GUGGCAGAGGCACAACACAGCACAACUUCCCCUUACCUGCAGGCUGGAAAGGAAAACAGUCUAGCACCUUGGAGCAUUCGAUCCUUGGCUUCUCCACUGAGAUGGAGAAAUCAGCAUGGCACAGAGGGAGAUUUCAUGGUGUGACAUCUCCACUUGGAAACCAGCCUGAAAAAUACCAAAAACAGAGCCAAAAGUGGCUAUCAGCCUCAAGUAGAAGUACCCCAUUUUGACAUUUGACCUGUUAGAAGAGAAGGGAGCAGACAGACCCACAUCACUCGGUGAUCCAGGAGGCAAUCUGUCCAGGAAGUAUGGACUCCAGAAACCUACAACGAGCUCCACACCUUCUUAUCCAGGUGGCGUAGUGCCUCUACUCACUCUGUUAAGCUGUGGUUUAUAGGGCAAGCUUUGUGGGUUUGCAAGAGUCCUUGGAUGCCUUGGGAAAUGUUCUGCAAAAGCGAGCUUUCUCUCCAUGUGUUCUGCACUCCAGCCACCAGGUCCUGAAAUCUCUGUGCACAGGAUUUCCCCUAUUAAAAUGGAG